rnacentral:rRNA from 1 species
AUUAGGAAUCUUGCGCAAUGGGGGCAACCCUGACGCAGCGACGCCGCGUGGAGGAUGAAGGCCUUCGGGUCGUAAACUUCUUUUAAGAGGGAAGAAUUUUGACGGUACCUCUUGAAUAAGCCCCGGCUAACUACGUGCCAGCAGCCGCGGUAAUACGUAGGGGGCGAGCGUUGUCCGAAGUUACUGGGCGUAAAGCGCGCGUAGGCGGUCUCUUAAGUCUGGGGUGAAAGGUUCAGCGCUCAACGUGAACAGUGCCUUGGAUACUGGGGGACUUGAGUUAGGGAGAGGGAAGUGGAAUUCCUGGUGUAGCGGUGAAAUGCGUAGAUAUCAGGAGGAACACCAGUGGCGAAGGCGGCUUCCUGGCCUAUAACUGACGCUGAGGUGCGAAAGCGUGGGGAGCGAACGGGAUUAGAAACCCUUGUAGUCC